UUCCAGGCCUACGGGGCGCAGCAGGCGCGAAACCUUUACACUGCACGCAAGUGCGAUAAGGGGACCCCAAGUGCGAGGGCAUAUAGUCCUCGCUUUUCUCGACUGUAAGGCGGUCGAGGAAUAAGAGCUGGGCAAGACCGGUGCCAGCCGCCGCGGUAAUACCGGCAGCUCAAGUGAUGACCGAUAUUAUUGGGCCUAAAGCGUCCGUAGCCGGCCACGAAGGUUCAUCGGGAAAUCCGCCAGCUCAACUGGCGGGCGUCCGGUGAAAACCACGUGGCUUGGGACCGGAAGGCUCGAGGGGUACGUCCGGGGUAGGAGUGAAAUCCCGUAAUCCUGGACGGACCACCGAUGGCGAAAGCACCUCGAGAAGACGGAUCCGACGGUGAGGGACGAAAGCUAGGGUCUCGAACCGGAUUAGAUACCCGGGUAGUCCUAGCUGUAAACGAUGCUCGCUAGGUGUGACACAGGCUACGAGCCUGUGUUGUGCCGUAGGGAAGCCGAGAAGCGAGCCGCCUGGGAAGUACGUCCGCAAGGAUGAAACUUAAAGGAAUUGGCGGGGGAGCACUACAACCGGAGGAGCCUGCGGUUUAAUUGGAUUCAACGCCGG
rnacentral:rRNA from 1 species